GGCCUGGGUAGCUCAGUUGGUAGAGCACCUGACUAAUGAUGCACUGGUCCCGGGUUCAAUUCCCGGUCCAGCCA